CCUACGGGAGGCAGCAGUGGGGAAUAUUGCACAAUGGGGGAAACCCUGAUGCAGCGACACCGCGUGAGUGAAGAAGUAAUUCGUUAUGUAAAGCUCUAUCAGCAGGGAAGAAAAUGACGGUACCUGAGUAAGAAGCCCCGGCUAACUACGUGCCAGCAGCCGCGGUAAUACGUAGGGGGCAAGCGUUAUCCGGAUUUACUGGGUGUAACGGGAGCGUAGACGGCAGUGCAAGUCUGGAGUGAAAGGCGGGGGCUCAACCCCCGGACUGCUCUGGAAACUGUACGGCUGGAGUGCAGGAGAGGUAAGUGGAAUUCCUAGUGUAGCGGUGAAAUGCGUAGAUAUUAGGAGGAACACCAGUGGCGAAGGCGGCUUACUGGACUGUAACUGACGUUGAGGCUCGAAAGCGUGGGGAGCAAACAGGAUUAGAUACCCCAGUAGUC
rnacentral:rRNA from 1 species